GACGGGACAUUUCAGAUUGUAGACAGCAUUUGUUUGGACAGAAAGUUUGAUGAGAAGCUAAAGUGAGGGGUGACGUCAUCAAAUUGUUGAUUCAUAUUGUUGGAAGUUGAGAGACUGUAAGUUUUUAAUACUUAAAUUGUGUAAUCCCUUUGUAGCACACCAUCUUAUAGAUAGAUAAGGCUUACAUAUUCAUGCUAAAAGCCAAAAAAAUUAUAUUUAGAUUUUUAUGGGGACUAGUCUGGGCCCCUAUGUGAUAUGAAAACACUGGGUUUAAAAUAGUUUGUUUGUUUCUGUACAGAGCAUGCAAGGUCAGUUGAACGCCCAUAUUCCAGCCCUUCCAACUGGACGCUUUGAAACCUUUUAUGGGCGGUGCUCCUAUGUAAAAUCAGUCUGCCUGGCCUGCUUGGUUGGUUAAGCGACAUAUGGAAAUAAUUUCAGCGGUUUAGCCCCUCCCACCAGGCGCUCGUCUGCUGUGUUGAUACUGAUCAAAAUGGCUGCAGAGGCUUGAUCCUGAUCCGACACUCUCAGCGCUUUAUCUGGACACUCCGAAUUUAUUCCUGGAUAUUUUCACUGUCGUUUUAAAAACAUCUCUGGAUUUUCCCACACAACUGCAGCCAGGCUGCUCACCGCAUCGCUAGCCAUCUUUAUUUUUUGCACUUUAAUGAAACCGCUUGCAUCGCAUAAUCUCACGUCAGUCUACCAGACAGUAGCAGCUUUAAACUGCCUUCUUCGUUUUGCACCGUAGAAGAGAUUAUAUUUCUAAUGACCAAUUUAUGCCACUGUACUUGACAAACUGCCUCUCCAUUUUAAUGUAUUCUUUUCUGUCUUUUCGCGGGUAUUUCGUAGCGUAUAUGUCAUGGAAAUGUCUGCUGUUUUUUCCAGCAUGCAUGCAUGCAUGCAUCUAUAAUCUCCAUCAGAGCCCAAAGCUCUGAGUUUGCAUAGAUUUGACGUCAGUCCUUUUCUCUUUGCAUAUUGAAUUUUGUUUUUUGUUUUUCGUAAUUGCUGCCUUUUUGGGACACUUUCGGAAGUACAGCUGCUCAUUUAGUACAGUGUUUUUUGGCUCAGUCUGUUUUUACGGGUACUUUUUUCCGCGAAAAAAACAACAACAACAACAUGCAACUGAAAGCUGCCAAAGCUCGACUUGUGAACAAAAAGGAGGAUCCACACAGAGUCUUGACAAGAGGUUGUCCACCUGUGAGAGCUCAAGCUUGAGUUUGCCUGCAUGGACAUCGACACCAAUACUGCCAGAAUCGGUUCCAUCACCUUUGAGUCUACCCUGGCAUUAACAUCUCUGUAAGACAUGAAAACCAGAGUGAAAAAACACACACUGAACUGUGUUUGCACUGUAUAUAUAUAUAUAUAUUUGGAUUGAUCGUAAUAUAGUA
rnacentral:lncRNA from 1 species